rnacentral:rRNA from 1 species
UACGUAGGGUGCGAGCGUUAAUCGGAAUUACUGGGCGUAAAGCGUGCGCAGGCGGUUCGUUAAGUUCGUUGUGAAAGCCCCGGGCUCAACCUGGGAACUGCAAUGGAAACUGGCGGGCUUGAGUGUGGCAGAGGAGAGUGGAAUUCCUGGUGUAGCGGUGAAAUGCGCAGAUAUCAGGAAGAACACCCGUGGCGAAGGCGGCUCUCUGGUACGUGACUGACGCUGAGACGCGAAAGCGUGGGGAGCGAACAGG